CUCAGAGUGAUGGCAUUUCAAGAACCUAAGAAGUGGUGUUCUUGGUUAUCACUGGCAGAGUGGUGGUUCAGUACCUCCUAUCACACAGCUACUAAGUUUACUCCAUUCCAGUGCUUAUAUGGGUUUCCUCCUCCACUCAUUGGAGAAGUCUCCAUCCCUGGACCUGGUGAUUCUGAAGCAGAAUCCUUUUUGCAACAAAGAGAGAUUAUGCAACAGCAACUCAAACAAAACUUACUAGUAGCACAACAACGCAUGAAGAAAUAUGCUGAUGCAAACAGAACUGACAGGCAUUUCACAGAGGGAGAGAUGGUAUAUCUCAAAAUGCAGCCGUACAGAUUAGCUGCCUUCGGAAUCAGAACUGGAUUGAAGCUUGCCACAAAGUUUUAUGCUCCUUUU
rnacentral:rRNA from 1 species